UACAAUACAUUGCUAUACUCCUUUCUCCUCACGACCCCUCCUCUGUCCGCACGCGCUCACCGCCGCCGCCACCGCUGCUCUCUCUCUCUCCAUCAUGCGCAUCCUCACUGAAUCGAUCCAUCCAUCCGUACUCCUCGCUCUCUUCCUCCCGUGACUCGUCGGAUCUGCACGGGUAGUGGCUCACCCCACCGGAUGGUACUCUCUUAGCCAUGGUACCCUUUGGUGUUAGACUGGGCAACACUUGGAGAGAGUCUGCACCGCUGAUGGGUGCCCCCUUCAGCCCUUCCACUUCCGUGUCAUGCGCAAUUCCGGUGACCUCAUGUAGCUCGAGCUCGAUGCACUCCGCCUACACGAGGGCGGUGCCAAGACGGGCAGCAACAAUAUGAGCUUGCAACUCUAUUUGAUGCAGUUGGUGCAACAUUGAACCAUUCUUCUAACUUUGUGGGGAUCAUGGCAGGAGGUAAUAUGGUUUUGGCAGUGAAGUUCCAAUUGAAGAAAGAACGGAAAGAGGAAACACAACAAUCCAAAGCCUAUUAAAGUAAAAAACAAUUGUUGUCCCAGUCUCCCAUCCGAACCAUCCAUGCAUGAUGCAUAGUCACCAUAAAAUUAGUGCAUGCUCCAUGAUCAUCUAGAGAAAUCAUGCUGCUGAAAUAGUCAG